rnacentral:tRNA from 1 species
GAUAGAGUAGCCAAGGGGUCUAAGGCGCUGGAUUUAGGCUCCAGUCUCUUCGGGGGCGUGGGUUCGAAUCCCACUGUUGCCA